CAAGUGGAGGUCCGCACCGACCGAUGUUGAAAAAUCGGCGGAUGAGGUGUGGUUAGGGGUGAAAUGCCAAUCGAACCCGGAGCUAGCUGGUUCUCCCCGAAAUGUGUUGAGGCGCAGCGGUUGAGGUUUAAAUCUGGGGGUAAAGCACUGUUUCGGUGCGGGCGGAGAAAUCUGUACCAAAUCGAGGCAAACUCUGAAUACCAGAUGUACACUCAGCCAGUGAGACGGUGGGGGAUAAGC
rnacentral:rRNA from 15 species